AUGUAUGGAGAUCUCUCCCCUCGUGCUACAUCUUGUCGGUUGCCGUUGCCUGUCGUGCCAAUUGCUUCUUGGGGUGAAGCUGUUGUCGAGGUCGUGGCUCCGGUGCUGCAGAUUAUGCCUGAGCUGCAGAAGAUUUGUGGGGAGCCUACUUUGCCUAAUUCGAUGGUGCUUCCUAAGGAGAUGGGGUCGCUUGUAGGGUGCUUAGUGUUGCCAACUGCGACCUCACCAUCGUCGAUGGAGCCCAUUCAGCUGCUCGACUUUAUGGACAGUGGAGGUUUGGAUGCUGCUAUUGCUCUCUCACCUGAGGUUGUUGGCCAGGUGGGGUCUGUGGGUGCCAAGGAUGAUGGGGUAGGUCCUUUGGCACCUAAACCUGAGGCGCUGAAAACCAUCCGGCAGCCCAUCUUUGACCGUGAUGCUAUGUUGGCACGUAUUGACGAGGUGGUCUUUGUGAAAAAGCUUGACCGCUUGCUCGCCUCCUUGGAUGCAGCUUGUCCUAGGUCUGGCAAGGCGGUUGCUUGCCUCCUAGUGGAAGAGGGUUCUACGGGCAAAGUAAAGAAGGUGAAGAAGGCUCUCAGGGCCAUAGGCAAGAAGAGUGGCGCCAUUGGUAAAGCGUCAUCGGCUGUUUGA
rnacentral:rRNA from 1 species